rnacentral:rRNA from 3 species
AAAUUGAAGAGUUUGAUCAUGGCUCAGAUUGAACGCUGGCGGCAGGCCUAACACAUGCAAGUCGAACGGUAACAGGAAGCAGCUUGCUGCUUUGCUGACGAGUGGCGGACGGGUGAGUAAUGUCUGGGAAACUGCCUGAUGGAGGGGGAUAACUACUGGAAACGGUGGCUAAUACCGCAUAACGUCGCAAGACCAAAGAGGGGGACCUUCGGGCCUCUUGCCAUCAGAUGUGCCCAGAUGGGAUUAGCUUGUUGGUGAGGUAACGGCUCACCAAGGCGACGAUCCCUAGCUGGUCUGAGAGGAUGACCAGCCACACUGGAACUGAGACACGGUCCAGACUCCUACGGGAGGCAGCAGUGGGGAAUAUUGCACAAUGGGCGCAAGCCUGAUGCAGCCAUGCCGCGUGUAUGAAGAAGGCCUUCGGGUUGUAAAGUACUUUCAGCGGGGAGGAAGGUGUUGUGGUUAAUAACCACAGCAAUUGACGUUACCCGCAGAAGAAGCACCGGCUAACUCCGUGCCAGCAGCCGCGGUAAUACGGAGGGUGCAAGCGUUAAUCGGAAUUACUGGGCGUAAAGCGCACGCAGGCGGUCUGUCAAGUCGGAUGUGAAAUCCCCGGGCUCAACCUGGGAACUGCAUUCGAAACUGGCAGGCUUGAGUCUUGUAGAGGGGGGUAGAAUUCCAGGUGUAGCGGUGAAAUGCGUAGAGAUCUGGAGGAAUACCGGUGGCGAAGGCGGCCCCCUGGACAAAGACUGACGCUCAGGUGCGAAAGCGUGGGGAGCAAACAGGAUUAGAUACCCUGGUAGUCCACGCCGUAAACGAUGUCUACUUGGAGGUUGUGCCCUUGAGGCGUGGCUUCCGGAGCUAACGCGUUAAGUAGACCGCCUGGGGAGUACGGCCGCAAGGUUAAAACUCAAAUGAAUUGACGGGGGCCCGCACAAGCGGUGGAGCAUGUGGUUUAAUUCGAUGCAACGCGAAGAACCUUACCUGGUCUUGACAUCCACAGAACUUUCCAGAGAUGGACUGGUGCCUUCGGGAACUGUGAGACAGGUGCUGCAUGGCUGUCGUCAGCUCGUGUUGUGAAAUGUUGGGUUAAGUCCCGCAACGAGCGCAACCCUUAUCCUUUGUUGCCAGCGAUUAGGUCGGGAACUCAAAGGAGACUGCCAGUGAUAAACUGGAGGAAGGUGGGGAUGACGUCAAGUCAUCAUGGCCCUUACGACCAGGGCUACACACGUGCUACAAUGGCGCAUACAAAGAGAAGCGACCUCGCGAGAGCAAGCGGACCUCAUAAAGUGCGUCGUAGUCCGGAUUGGAGUCUGCAACUCGACUCCAUGAAGUCGGAAUCGCUAGUAAUCGUGGAUCAGAAUGCCACGGUGAAUACGUUCCCGGGCCUUGUACACACCGCCCGUCACACCAUGGGAGUGGGUUGCAAAAGAAGUAGGUAGCUUAACCUUCGGGAGGGCGCUUACCACUUUGUGAUUCAUGACUGGGGUGAAGUCGUAACAAGGUAACCGUAGGGGAACCUGCGGUUGGAUCACCUCCUUACCU